UCCAUCAGGCUCGGAAUUGGUGAGCAUCUC
rnacentral:piRNA from 1 species